rnacentral:rRNA from 1 species
GCUUGUCUCAAAGAUUAAGCCAUGCAUGUCUAAGUAUAAACAACUUUAUACUGUAAAACUGCGAACGGCUCAUUAUAUCAGCAAUUAUUUAUUUGAUGGUCUCUUACUACAUGGAUAACUGUGGUAAUUCUAGAGCUAAUACAUGCGUAAAAUCCCGACUCUCGCGGGGAGGGAUGUAUUUAUUAGAUAAAAAACCAAUGCGGGGCAACCCGGUUUUGUGGUGAAUCAUAGUAACUAAUCGGAUCGCAUGGGCUUUGCCCGCGACAAACCAUUCAAGUUUCUGCCCCAUCAGCUUUCGAUGGUAGUGUAUUGGACUACCAUGGCUAUUACGGGUAACGGAGGAUUAGGGUUCGAUUCCGGAGAGGGAGCCUGAGAAACGGCUACCACAUCUAAGGAAGGCAGCAGG